GAUGACUAUUUAAAGGCACAUGGG
rnacentral:piRNA from 1 species